rnacentral:rRNA from 1 species
GACGAACGCUGGCGGCGUGCUUAACACAUGCAAGUCGAACGGUAAGGCCCUUCGGGGUACACGAGUGGCGAACGGGUGAGUAACACGUGGGUGAUCUGCCCUGCACUUCGGGAUAAGCCUGGGAAACUGGGUCUAAUACCGGUUAGGACCACUGCCUGCAUGGGUGGUGGUGGAAAGCUUUUGUGGUGUGGGAUGGGCCCGCGGCCUAUCAGCUUGUUGGUGGGGUGAUGGCCUACCACGGCGACGACGGGUAGCCGGCCUGAGAGGGUGACCGGCCACACUGGGACUGAGAUACGGCCCAGACUCCUACGGGAGGCAGCAGUGGGGAAUAUUGCACAAUGGGCGCAAGCCUGAUGCAGCGACGCCGCGUGAGGGAUGACGGCCUUCGGGUUGUAAACCUCUUUCAGCACCGACGAAGCGCAAGUGACGGUAGGUGCAGAAGAAGGACCGGCCAACUACGUGCCAGCCGCCGCCGUAA